UCAUAUAUAUCCACUAUUCCUAGUGCAAUAUUACCCAAAGCAUCUCUUCUCUCCCUGUACACAGGACCAAAAGUGCAGGCACAUCAUUUAUUGAUAAGACAAAAAGAAUGUAAUGAAAUUAUCAAUGUUCUUGAAUUAAUUAUGAACAUGAUUAAGAAAGCUAAAAUCUCAGGAGCCAGGAUCUCAUUACCCAUUCAGUCUUAGGGAUUGCUUUCAUUCAGCUAAGCAAAAAGGCUUUGAGCAGUCCCACAAUUGCCUUUCUCUCAUUUAUUUGUGCUAGAAUUAAGGUUUAUUUGUUUUCUGUUUUCUCCUUCUUCAGAGAUUAUUUCUCUUAGUUUAUCCAUUUAACAAAUUGUUUCUUCCUGUAUCAUAGAAGAAUGCCCCUGUAGGGCCUCCAUCACUGUCUUCUGGCUACAGACCUCCUCCUUUUGAGGGCAUUUUCUCUCCACUCAUUUUGCUGGGAGCUCCUAAAUAUCUCUCAAGUUUCUACAGAUAGCAGAAGACUUCUGCAGUCCAAUCCUGCAAAUGCAUAGUUGCUAAGAAGAGGCUUUUUAAAAGUUCUACUUUGUGGGAAAACUUGACCAAAUAUUGAGAAAGCAGAAGACAGGAAUAUUUUCACUAGAUUGGGAUGGAUGGAGAGAGAGGGAAUGAAAAUAUUGACUAAGGGCAGAAAACAAUAUUCCCACCUUUAAAAGUCUAUGAUUGAUGAGUGUGAGAAGAGAAAUCCAGGGGUCUCCAAUAGAAUUCCGAAGACACAUGGUUUCAUCCAGUCAUCAGUUUCGUUAGAACUUCGCUUCCAGCUGGGCUCUGCCAUUUAGGAUAAGGAAUCGUGAUGUCACAUCUCUGCUAUUCAUGCUUCUGGCAGCCCAGCCUGACUGCCAUACCUCACCCCAAACAUCCUAAGAAAGACCAAAUGGGAAGCUUUUUGAGAGAAGAGAUGGUGGAAUUGCAGAAUUUAGAGAUCAUUAAGCCCAAUCCCUCCAUAAUAUAGAGAUUUGGAAAAAAGACUUGAAAGAGCAAAUUCUUUGCUGGCCAUGGUCAUUCAACUGGCAGAAUCAAGAUUAGCUGGUCCACUAGAACUCAGACCAGUGAGUUCUUAAGAUAUGGCUCAUUCUUUAGAAAAAAAUUCUGCACAGUACCCAGCACAGUGCUACAUACGGAGAAUGUGUUGACUACAUAUUUGUCGAAAAUGACACAGAAAAUUCAAGCACCUUCAGUCUAAUAUCCUGAAAGUGAGCCUACUCACAGAAUCCUAAAAUUUUAAGAAUUGAAAGGGAGCUCGGCAUAUAUCUUUUCUACUUCUUGCCCACUAUACCAUAUCCAGAAAUAUAUCAUCCAGAUUUUUAUUAGGAGAUGGACUCAGUGAAAAAAAAACCCAUCAAAUUUGAAAUCAGAGGUCAUAAGCUCAAAUACCAGCUUUGCCAGCUAGUGCAUUCUGGGCAACAAAUAAGUGGCAUAAGGGAUAGAGCAUAAGACCCAGAAUUAGAAAGAAUGGAGUAAAAAUUCUACCUCGAAUACUUACUAGCUGUAUAAUCCUAAGUAAGUCACUUGACCUUUGUAUGCCUCAGGUUCCUUAUCUGUAAAAUGGAGACAAUAAUAGCACCUACCUCCCAGGGUUGGUGUGGGGAUCAAAUAAGAUAAUAUUUGUAAAGCAUUUUGUGAAUCUCAAAG
ensembl:lncRNA